UGGGGAAUUUUGGACAAUGGGGGAAACCCUGAUCCAGCCAUCCCGCGUGUGCGAUGAAGGCCUUCGGGUUGUAAAGCACUUUUGGCAGGAAAGAAACGUCGCGGGUUAAUACCCCGCGAAACUGACGGUACCUGCAGAAUAAGCACCGGCUAACUACGUGCCAGCAGCCGCGGUAAUACGUAGGGUGCAAGCGUUAAUCGGAAUUACUGGGCGUAAAGCAUGCGCAGGCGGUUCGGAAAGAAAGAUGUGAAAUCCCAGAGCUUAACUUUGGAACUGCAUUUUUAACUACCGGGCUAGAGUGUGUCAGAGGGAGGUGGAAUUCCGCGUGUAGCAGUGAAAUGCGUAGAUAUGCGGAGGAACACCGAUGGCGAAGGCAGCCUCCUGGGAUAACACUGACGCUCAUGCACGAAAGCGUGGGGAGCAAACAGGAUUAGAUACCCUGGUAGUCCACGCCCUAAACGAUGUCAACUAGCUGUUGGGGCCUUCGGGCCUUGGUAGCGCAGCUAACGCGUGAAGUUGACCGCCUGGGGAGUACGGUCGCAAGAUUAAAACUUAAAU
rnacentral:rRNA from 1 species